rnacentral:rRNA from 1 species
GACGAACGCUGGCGGCGUGCUUAACACAUGCAAGUCGAACGAUGAAGGAGGAGCUUGCUCCUCUGGAUUAGUGGCGAACGGGUGAGUAACACGUGAGCAAUCUGCCCUUGACUCUGGGAUAAGCGCUGGAAACGGCGUCUAAUACCGGAUACGACCCUCGGAGGCAUCUCCUGUGGGUGGAAAGAACUUCGGUCAAGGAUGAGCUCGCGGCCUACCAGCUUGUUGGUGAGGUAAUGGCUCACCAAGGCGACGACGGGUAGCCGGCCUGAGAGGGUGACCGGCCACACUGGGACUGAGACACGGCCCAGACUCCUACGGGAGGCAGCAGUGGGGAAUAUUGCGCAAUGGGCGAAAGCCUGACGCAGCAACGCCGCGUGAGGGAUGACGGCCUUCGGGUUGUAAACCUCUUUCAGCAGGGAAGAAGCGAAAGUGACGGUACCUGCAGAAGAAGCACCGGCUAACUACGUGCCAGCCGCCGCCGAAUAC